GAUGGCUGCAAGGUGUGGGUUACUUGCAUUAAGAGGCUUGCAGAAAAGGCUGGCAGAUCAAUCCUGUGCUGUGUUACUGCUUCUAUAAGCUCCUUGAGGCAGCAGAGAAAAAGUCCCCCAUCUGCCAUGCUGGAAUGGGGCAGUACAGCCGUAUGUGGAUAGUGCAGAUGUGGAAGAACCAAAAUCGAGGGACAGCCUUGAGAAGAGGAUGAAGCUGCUGUGCCAGACCAUGAGCUGCAUGAGGAGCACCAGAAUGAGGAGCAGCACUGGGUUGCAGAAAUGAGGGCUGUGUGCACGAAAACACAAGAAGAGUCACAUGUGGAGGUGGUGACUCACAGCAUUCGCAUCUGGCUUGGCUGGGCAAUAAAACAGCAACACGGACUCACCAUGAAAAGGGCAC
ensembl:lncRNA